rnacentral:rRNA from 1 species
UGCGCAGGUGGGCUUGUAAGUCAGUGGUGAAAUACUGCCGCUUAACGGUAGAACUGCCAUUGAUACUGCGAGUCUUGAGUAUGGUUGAGGUAGGCGGAAUGUGUUGUGUAGCGGUGAAAUGCAUAGAUAUGACACAGAACGCCGAUUGCGAAGGCAGCUUACUAAGCCAUUACCGACGCUGAGGCACGAAAGCGUGGGGAGCGAACAGGAUUAGAUACCCUGGUAGUC